rnacentral:rRNA from 1 species
GGGGAAUAUUGCACAAUGGGCGCAAGCCUGAUGCAGCCAUGCCGCGUGUGUGAAGAAAGGCCUUUCGGGUUGUAAAAGCACUUUCAAGCGAGGAGGAAGGGCAUCGACACCUUAAUACCGUGUGGUGAUUGAACGUUACUCGCCAGGAGAAGCCCGAUGAUAUGGCCCCC